UACGUAGGGUGCAAGCGUUGUCCGGAAUUAUUGGGCGUAAAGAGCUCGUAGGCGGUUUGUUGCGUCGGCUGUGAAAUCCCGAGGCUCAACCUCGGGUCUGCAGUCGAUACGAGCAAACUAGAGUGUUGCAGGGGAGACUGGAAUUCCUGGUGUAGCGGUGAAAUGCGCAGAUGUCAGGAGGAACACCGGUGGCGAAGGCGGGUCUCUGGGCAACAACUGACGCUGGAGGAGCGAAAGCGUGGGGAGCGAACAGG
rnacentral:rRNA from 1 species